CCUAGAACUUUGCUCGCCCACCCGUCAGUAGCUCUGGGUGGCUGUAGCAGGUUUGCUGUCUUUCAACUUUCCACCUAAGCAUAAUGGUCAGAAUGCACUCGAACCCAGAAGAAGAGGACUCAGAAACGGGAGAGAGACAGACAGGGGUAGAGAGGUGGGGGGACAGAAUUCUUUUCAGAUUAAGAAAAAAUUUCAACCUCCCUUUCCACAUCCCUUUCCAGAGGAAACGCCACUAGCCGUGGGAGAUGUUGCUAUAUCAUUGUAGUUGCUGUUAAUUUCUGUUGAAGCUUUUUGUUUAGAACGUCCACUCUCAACAGCACAAGGUAACCGACUGAGGGCCAGGCAGGGUUCUGUUAAGUCAGUGUUCGUUUAGGACCUGGGUACAUUGCCUAGGAAAAUGACUUGCCUUUACAAGCAAACUUCCUUAAAAGGUUCUGAAAUAAAAAACGAGUUGCUGUCAGUGAACAGUAUUUAUCAGGGACCCUCUCCUGUUAAUCUGGAAGAAACUUGUAUUCAGAGGUGCUAUUUAUUAAUUAGCAUGCAUGACAAGAGUUGAGCCACGGAUGUUUGGUGCCAUUUGCUACAUCUUAACCUGGGGAUUCACUUUUGUUUUCUUUCUCUGCAUCCUCCGAAUUACAGGUAGAUAAUGUGAAAGGCCUUAUUUCUGAGUCAGUAGAUCACAGUUCAGUUCCUGGAGCCUUCAAAUACUGACUAUGAGCCUUAAUCCCAACUUUCACUAAAUGUUCACCAAGCCUCAUUUCCUUAUCAAACCAUGAAGAAACAUGGAGAAAGAUCCUCUGGGCUUUACCGAGAUUGGUGGACACAGAGCUGAGAUGGCGAUGCUGCCCUCCCUGUGACAGCUAAAUCAUCCUUGUGACCCAGAGACCCUCAGAGGUAGACCCACUGGGUUGCAGAGUAUUUGCGUAUGACCAAAUGCUACGUUCUUCUAAUGAGACUAAGAGAAC
rnacentral:lncRNA from 1 species